rnacentral:lncRNA from 1 species
UCUGCCGAGCCGCCAUGGUUGGGAGAUUAAAAUAUGUCUCAUCGAAGAUGGAGAGAAUCAGCAUCCUGGAACUAGCGUGCGUGCAAAAGAGGCAUACUACAGGGAGCUGUUUCUAUCCGUGUCGCGACGCCUCGAACUGCUUGGUACCGGAACAUUCCAUUUCGUAAGAAAAGGAUUUCUAACAUUAUCCCAUGAACAAAGCCAAGCUCUGUUUGUAAGUACUGGGAGGACAGCGAAUAUCGACGAAGUAUUUCUUCAAUGGAAGUCAACGCUAGCUAAGAAGUUUACAACACAAACACAUGGUAAACAUGUGGUUGUUUUAAUAACAAGGCGUACAGUCACGGCACGUAACGGGGAUGGAGGCAAUGG